rnacentral:rRNA from 1 species
AGUCGAGGGGCAGCAUUUCAGUUUGCUUGCAAACUGGAGAUGGCGACCGGCGCACGGGUGAGUAACACGCUAUCCAACCUGCCGAUAACUCGGGGAUAGCCUUUCGAAAGAAAGAUUAAUACCCGAUGGUAUAAUCAGACCGCAUGGUCUUGUUAUUAAAGAAUUUCGGUUAUCGAUGGGGAUGCGUUCCAUUAGGCAGUUGGUGAGGUAACGGCUCACCAAACCUUCNAUGGAUAGGGGUUCUGAGAGGAAGGUCCCCCACAUUGGAACUGAGACACGGUCCAAACUCAUACGGGAGGCAGCAGUGAGGAAUAUUGGUCAAUGGGCGCAGGCCNUGAACCAGCCAAGUAGCGUGAAGGAUGACUGCCCUAUGGGUUGUAAACUUCUUUUAUAUGGGAAUAAAGUUUUCCACGUGUGGAAUUUUGUAUGUACCAUAUGAAUAAGGAUCGGCUAACUUCCGUGCCAGCAGCCGCGGUAAUACGGAGGAUCCGAGCGUUAUCCGGAUUUAUUGGGUUUAAAGGGAGCGUAGGUGGACAGUUAAGUCAGUUGUGAAAGUUUGCGGCUCAACCGUAAAAUUGCAGUUGAUACUGGCUGUCUUGAGUACAGUAGAGGUGGGCGGAAUUCGUGGUGUAGCGGUGAAAUGCUUAGAUAUCACGAAGAACUCCGAUUGCGAAGGCAGCUCACUGGACUGCAACUGACACUGAUGCUCGAAAGUGUGGGUAUCAAACAGGAUUAGAUACCCUGGUAGUCCACACAGUAAACGAUGAAUACUCGCUGUUUGCGAUAUACAGUAAGCGGCCAAGCGAAAGCAUUAAGUAUUCCACCUGGGGAGUACGCCGGCAACGGUGAAACUCAAAGGAAUUGACGGGGGCCCGCACAAGCGGAGGAACAUGUGGUUUAAUUCGAUGAUACGCGAGGAACCUUACCCCGGGCUUAAAUUGCAUUUGAAUAUAUUGGAAACAGUAUAGCCGUAAGGCAAAUGUGAAGGUGCUGCAUGGUUGUCGUCAGCUCGUGCCGUGAGGUGUCGGCUUAAGUGCCAUAACGAGCGCAANCCCUUAUCUUUAGUUACUAACAGGUCAUGCUGAGGACUCUAGAGAGACUGCCGUCGUAAGAUGUGAGGAAGGUGGGGAUGACGUCAAAUCAGCACGGCCCUUACGUCCGGGGCUACACACGUGUUACAAUGGGGGGUACAGAAGGCAGCUACCUGGUGACAGGAUGCUAAUCCCAAAAGCCUCUCUCAGUUCGGAUCGAAGUCUGCAACCCGACUUCGUGAAGCUGGAUUCGCUAGUAAUCGCGCAUCAGCCAUGGCGCGGUGAAUACGUUCCCGGGCCUUGUACACACCGCCCGUCAAGCCAUGAAAGCCGGGGGUACCUGAAGUACGUAACCGCAAGGAGCUCCUAGG